GACGAACGCUGGCGGCGUGCCUAACACAUGCAAGUCGAACGAGGUCCAUCCUUCGGGAGAAGUCCUAGUGGCGAACGGGUGAGUAACACGUGAGGAACCUGCCCCGGAGACCGGGAUAACCACUCGAAAGAGUGGCUAAUACCGGAUGCCCCCAUCCUGUCGCAUGACGGGAUGAGGAAAUGGAUUCCGCUCCGGGAGGGCCUCGCGGCCUAUCAGCUAGUUGGUGAGGUAACGGCUCACCAAGGCAUCGACGGGUAGCUGGUCUGAGAGGACGAUCAGCAACACUGGGACUGAGACACGGCCCAGACUCCUACGGGAGGCAGCAGUGGGGAAUCUUGCGCAAUGGGCGAAAGCCUGACGCAGCAACGCCGCGUGGGGGAUGAAGGCUCUCGGGUUGUAAACCCCUUUCAGCAGGGACGAAAAUGACGGUACCUGCAGAAGAAGCUCCGGCUAACUACGUGCCAGCAGCCGCAGUAAUAC
rnacentral:rRNA from 1 species